CCUCACCUCUCUGCGCAGGAGAAACAGAGAUGGGCGACGCUGUCAUCCUUGCCUUCAAGCCGUUUGCGACGCCGUCCCCUCGUCGCUGGGCCGUGCACAAGGACGAGGAGGAGGAGGAGGAGCAGCAGUCCACGGCGCCGUGUACGUCCUUACCCCUCCACACGCGGGCCGCAGAGAUGGACAAGGAGACUGAGCCAUGUGGGCAGUUGCCGCCAUCGCCUUCCUUCAGAGGAAAUUAAGGAAUGGCGGGGACUCUGGUUUGGUUAUGAGGAGUGCUUGGUGGAUGCUUAUGUGAUACUAUUAAGGAGCUUAGCUCAAGCUCAAAUAUGGAAGGUCACUACUUGAAGGUCUGCACAUGUUCAUGCUGGAGCAUUAGAAUAAAUAAAGUGAGUCUUGCAGUAUUUAUUGGGUGAAGUUCUGCGUAUGUAUCUACACGCGGCGGUGGCUGUUGCUGGAUGAGAGCUGGGUCCUGACCCGGACGCAGCGCCCAUCCCCGUCUCUGGUACCGUCGGAGAGACGAGGAUGGCGCCGGC